AUGGCGGGGCCGCCCGGAAACACGGGCAAAACGGGUAGUGGGCCCCUCUUUCCCUCUGCAAACCGGGCACUGGGCCUCUCCUUCCCUCUGCAAACUGGGCACUGGGCCUCUCCUCUUCCCUCUGCAAACUGGGCACCCGGCCACUCCUUUCCUGUGCAAAACGGGCACCGGGCCUCUCCUUCCCUCUGCCAAAUGGGCACCAGGCCUCUCCUUUGUUCUGCAAAACGGGCACCGGGCCUCUCCUCUUCCCUCUGCCAAAUGGGCACCGGGCUGCUCCUUCCCUCUGCAAAACGGGCACUGGGCCUCUUCUCUUCUCCCUGCCAAAUGGGCACCGGGUCACUCCUCUUCCCUCUGCCAAAAGGGCACCGGGCUGCUCUUUCCCUCUGCAAACAGGGCACCGGGCCGCUCCUUCCAUCUGCAGAAUGGGCACCAGGCCACUCCUUCCCAAAACCGGAUACCGGCCGCUCCUUCCCUCUGCAAACCAGGCACUGGGCCACUCCUUCCCUCCAGGCUCAGCCCUCCCUGUGGCUCUGCCAGCUGUGCCUGCUGCCUGCCAGCUCCUGGCACAGGCUCUGGACAUUGGCCAUCACCCCCUGUGCUGGUGGCCAGGCCUGGGCCCUGCUGUGCAGAAGGGUCAUGGCUGCCAUGGCUGCCACAGCUCUCCCAGAUCCAUCCUUGCUCCUGGCCGGCCCCAUCGGGAGGGUGACCCGAUUCCCUCACGGUUGGCGUCACCCGUGCCGGUGCCACCGGAGCCGGCUCCCCCUCCAUCCCUUCCCCACGGGGCUGCCAGCUCGGCUCAUGCCCAGCCGAGCGCGGGGGACGAAGGGGCGCUGGCGGCUCCCCGGGAGCGCUGGUGGCAGCAGCGAGGUCAGGCCGUGGCGCAAAUGCCGCCGAUCAGAUCUGCCCAUGGGGACCGUGGAGCAGCACAGAGGUGACCCCUGCACUCGGGGUCAGCGGGCCCGGCGUGCGUCAGCCCCGAGCGCCUUAAUCCCAACCGGGCAGGGGGAGGAGCGCGGGGGGACGGCGGAUUCCUGA
rnacentral:lncRNA from 1 species